rnacentral:rRNA from 1 species
AUUGGAGGGCAAGUCUGGUGCCAGCAGCCGCGGUAAUUCCAGCUCCAAUAGCGUAUAUUAAACUUGUUGCAGUUAAAAAGCUCGUAGUUGAAUUUCUGCGUUAUCGAGUUAUUGACUCUUGUCUUUAAUCGAUUUCGCUUUUGGGAUUUAUCCCUUUUUACUUUGAGAAAAUUAGAGUGUUUCAAGCAGACUUUUGUCUUGAAUACUUCAGCAUGGAAUAAUAGAGUAGGACUUUGGUUCUAUUUUGUUGGUUUUUGAACCUUAGUAAUGGUUAAUAGGAACGGUUGGGGGCAUUCGUAUUUAACUGUCAGAGGUGAAAUUCUUAGAUUUGUUAAAGACGAACUACUGCGAAAGCAUUUGCCAAGGACGUUUCCAUUAAUCAAGAACGAAAGUUAGGGGAUCGAAGACGAUCAGAUACCGUCGUAGUCCUAACCAUAAACUA